rnacentral:lncRNA from 10 species
GGGUUUCACGAUGUUGGCCCGGCUGUCCUCGAACUCCUGGACUCAAGUGAUCUGCCGUCCUUGGCCUCCCAAAGUGCUGGAAUUACAGGCGUGAGCCACUGCACCUGACCUCCAUUUUCCUCUGGUCUUUCAGAGAGCCCAGGCAGAAGCUAUUAUCAUCAAAGGAUGAUUGCAGAAAGGAUGACCUACAAGUGGAUGGUCAGAUCUGGCUGCAAAUGGAUGUCUGAAAGAAAACGGGGAUCCUAGGAAACCCAUCACAGCCCUCUAUGAGCUUCAGAAACCAGCAAGAUGGGAUUUCGGAUGUUGGAAUCAUGAGGCUUUUGUUUAAGAGUUGCUUAAGAUGUUCUUCAGAUCCUGAAUUCCAGCAGAACAGCUGACAUCCACAACCAGUUUGAGGAUCCCCACAGAAGAGCUGAAUCAACAUGAGAAUGCAGUUUCUUCAUCUCUCCAGUCCAUGACUUCACCCUGCAAUCCCCACAGAAGAGCUGAAUCAACAUGAGAAUGCAGUUUCUUCAUCUCUCCAGUCCAUGACUUCACCCUGCAAUCCCCACACCUCAGCCCACUCCAAACCCCUUACAAACUCCUCAGGGAGGCAAAUCUGAG